AUGCUGCCGGUAUGCGUCGCUGACCUCCGUCAGCACCAUGCCCAGGCAGCCCCGGUCUUCAAGGCUGCAACGCGGUUCGCCGCGUGGAUCGAACCAGUCCGCCUCGCAUCACCCACCGCGGACGAGCGUUUUCACAACGCCGAUGC
rfam:Thauera terpenica 58Eu Cont18, whole genome shotgun sequence.